rnacentral:piRNA from 1 species
UCCAAAAGUUCUAAGUGUGCCAAGGAAAU